GGGGUUGUACUGGUUUCGACGGGGGUGCUGAAAUUGAAGAAGCCAUCCGCAGACUCCGGGGCUGCGUAAAAACCUGGAACUUAAAUAUAAAAGCUGAAGAUAAUAAUUACGCUUUAGCUGCCGCUUAAGGCAGCCUGUCAGCCCGGGAUCACUCACAGUCCCGGUCCUGGCAUCGACUUUUGUGAGGCCCUUUGCCGUCUAAGCUUUGCGGCGGCAAAAGAUUUAUGAAGCUACCAAAAGAAGGCCGCCUGUCGUUGGGGGUGCCUUUGAGGGAAUAAAAGUACAGCGACUGUGAUGGGAGAUGCUUUGAUGGAUGUGCCUUCGGACCGGGGUUCGACUCCCCGCAGCUCCAUAC
rnacentral:tmRNA from 1 species